rnacentral:rRNA from 1 species
GACGAACGCUGGCGGCGUGCUUAACACAUGCAAGUCGAACGGUAAGGCCCUUCGGGGUACACGAGUGGCGAACGGGUGAGUAACACGUGGGUGAUCUGCCCUGCACUUCGGGAUAAGCAUGGGAAACUGGGUCUAAUACCGGAUAGGACUCCUGGCUUCAUGGUUGGGGGUGGAAAGAUUUUGCGGUGUGGGAUGGGCCCGCGGCCUAUCAGUUUGUUGGUGGGGUAAUGGCCUACCAAGGCGACGACGGGUAGCCGGCCUGAGAGGGUGACCUGUCACACUGGGACUAGGCAACGGGCCAGACUCCUACGUGAGGCAGCAGUGGGGAAUAUUGCACAAUGGGCGCAAGCCUGAUGCAGCGACGCCGCGUGAGGGAUGACGGCCUUCGGGUUGUAAACCUCUUUCAGCUAUGACGAAGCGCAAGUGACGGUAGUAGCAGAAGAAGGACCGGCCAACUACGUGCCAGCAGCCGCAGUAA